GCUCGUAUAGUGUAGGUGGUUAUCACAGUUCGUUGUGGAGUUUCCUCAUCUGAGCUAACCGCUGUUCGACUCAGCGUGCGAGCA
rnacentral:tRNA from 1 species